UACGUAGGGUGCGAGCGUUAAUCGGAAUUACUGGGCGUAAAGCGUGCGCAGGCGGCUUGCUAAGACAGGUGUGAAAGCCCCGAGCUUAACUUGGGAAUGGCGCUUGUGACUGGCAGGCUGGAGUGUGGCAGAGGGAGGUGGAAUUCCACGUGUAGCAGUGAAAUGCGUAGAUAUUGGGAAGAACACCUAUGGCGAAGGCAGCUCUCUGGGACGGUACUGACGCUGAGACGCGAAAGCGUGGGGAGCGAACAGG
rnacentral:rRNA from 1 species